rnacentral:rRNA from 1 species
UUAAGAUACUAAGAGCAUACGGUGGAUGCCUUGGCGAUAUCUGCCGACGAAGGACGUGACAAGCUGCGAAAAGCUGCGGAGAGAUGCAAAUAAUCGGCGACCCGCAGACAUCCGAAUGGAGAAAUCCGGCUGUGAUGAUGCACAGCCAUCCAUGCCCAAGAGCAUGAGAAGGGAACCGGGCGAACUGAAACAUCUAAGUAACCCGAGGAAAAGAAAUCAAACGAGAUACCCCAAGUAGCGGCGAGCGAACAGGGAAGAAGCCCAAACCGGUGAAGGAAACUUUACCGGGGUUGAGGACCAUCAGACCCGCGAAGAACUUUAGCCGAAACUGUUGGGAAACAGUGCCGAAGACAGUGAAAGCCUGGUAGGCGAAAAAGAGAAACGCGGAGAUGGCACCAGAGUACCGCGGGACACGAGAAAUCCCGUGGGAAGCAGGGGGGACCACCCUCCAAGGCAAAACACAGAUAUCGACCGAUAGCGCAUAGUACCAUGAGGGAAAGGUGAAAAGCACCCCGGGAGGGGAAUGAAAGAGAACCUGAAACCGUAUGUUUACAAGCAGUCGGAGACCGCUUAAUAAUAAGGUCGACGGCGUGCCUAUUGAAGAAUGAACCGGCGAGUUACGAAGCCUGGCAAGGUUAAGCAGGAAAUGCGGAGCCGAAGCGAAAGCGAGUCUUAAGAGGGCGCAAGUCAGGAAGCGUAGACCCGAAACCACAGUGAUCUACCCAUGUCCAGGUUGAAACACAGGUAAAAAUGUGUGGAGGACCGAACCUAUAUCCGUUGAAAAGGGUUAGGAUGAGGUGUGGGUAGGGGUGAAAUUCCAAUCGAACGUGGAGAUAGCUGGUUCUCCCCGAAAUAGCUUUAGGGCUAGCCUCAGGGAAAAGAUUGCAGGCGGUAGAGCACUGAUCAGGAGAGGGACCUACCCGGUUACCAAACCCAGUCAAACUCCGAAUGGCUGCAAUCAUACCUGGGAGUCAGACUGCGACUAAUAAGGGCCGCAGUCAAAAGGGAAACAGCCCAGACCAUCAGCUAAGGUCCCCAAUGCCGUGCUAAGUGGCGAAGGAUGUGGCAUUUCAUAAACAACCAGGAUGUUGGCUCAGAAGCAGCCACCAUUUAAAGAGUGCGUAAUAGCUCACUGGUCGAGAGACGCUGCGCCGAAAAUGUCCGGGGCUCAAGCACGGAACCGAAGCUAUGGCAUGAUAGCAAUAUCAUGGGUAGGGGAGCGUUCUUAUAAGGAAGAAGCAUGACCGGAAGGACAUGUGGACGAAUAAGAAGUGAGAAUGCCGGUAUGAGUAUCGAAAAGAAAGGUGAGAAUCCUUUCCACCGAAAGCCCGAGGGUUCCUGAGCAACGAUCGUCGACUCAGGGUAAGUCGGGACCUAAGCCGAGGCGGAAAGCGUAGGCGAUGGACAACAGGUUGAAAUUCCUGUACCGGAUCAAGUCGAUCGAGCGAAGGAGCGACGCAGGAGGGCACAUGAUCGCGCGGCUGGAAGAGCGCGUCCAAGUGCGUAUGUUGCAGCAGAGGAAAACCCCUGCAGCUAAAAGCAGAGACAUGAUGGGGAGUUAAAGGAAACUUUGACGAACUCAUGAAUCCCACACUGCCAAGAAAAACUUCUAGCGAGACAAGAUCCGCCCGUACCGUAAACCGACACAGGUAGGCGGGGAGAGAAUCCUAAGGUGCGCGGGAAAACCCUCGUUAAGGAACUCGGCAAAUUGCAUCCGUAACCUAGGGAGAAGGAUGGCCCCCGGUCAGUGAAGAGCAGAAACGCUCAGAGCUAAAAGGGGCGGCAGAAAAGAGGCCCAAGCAACUGUUUACCAAAAACACAGGUGCCUGCGAAAGCGAAAGCUGAAGUAUAGGUGCUGACGCCUGCCCGGUGCCGGAAGGUUAAGGAGAGAAGUUAGCGAAAGCGAAGCAUCGAACUGAAGCCCCGGUGAACGGCGGCCGUAACUAUAACGGUCCUAAGGUAGCGAAAUUCCUUGUCGGGUAAG